GCGCCGGUGGUGUAAAGCGAACAUCGCUGCCCGGAAAGCAGAAGAUGCGGUUUCGAGUCCCGCCUGGCGCA
rfam:Heligmosomoides polygyrus genome assembly, scaffold: HPBE_scaffold0001357